rnacentral:rRNA from 1 species
GACGAACGCUGGCGGCGUGCUUAACACAUGCAAGUCGAACGGAAAGGCCCUGCUUUUGUGGGGUGCUCGAGUGGCGAACGGGUGAGUAACACGUGAGUAACCUGCCCUUGACUUUGGGAUAACUUCAGGAAACUGGGGCUAAUACCGGAUAGGAGCUCCUGCUGCAUGGUGGGGGUUGGAAAGUUUCGGCGGUUGGGGAUGGACUCGCGGCUUAUCAGCUUGUUGGUGGGGUAGUGGCUUACCAAGGCUUUGACGGGUAGCCGGCCUGAGAGGGUGACCGGCGACAUUGGGACUGAGGGACGGACCAGACGCCUACGGGAGGCAGCAGUGGGGAAUAUUGCACAAUGGGCGGAAGCCUGAGGCAGCAACGCCGCGUGCGGGAUGACGGCCUUCGGGUUGUAAACCGCUUUCGCCUGUGACGAAGCGUGAGUGACGGUAAUGGGUAAAGAAGCACCGGCUAACUACGUG